rnacentral:rRNA from 1 species
GUGACUGCGUACCUUUUGUAUAAUGGGUCAGCGACUUAUAUUCUGUAGCAAGGUUAACCGUAUAGGGGAGCCGAAGGGAAACCGAGUCUUAACUGGGCGUUAAGUUGCAGGGUAUAGACCCGAAACCCGGUGAUCUAGCCAUGGGCAGGUUGAAGGUGACCGAACCGACUAAUGUUGAAAAAUUAGCGGAUGACCUGUGGCUGGGGGUGAAAGGCCAAUCAAACCGGGAGAUAGCUGGUUCUCCCCGAAAGCUAUUUAGGUAGCGCCUCGUGAACUCAUCUUCGGGGGUAGAGCACUGUUUCGGCUAGGGGGCCAUCCCGGCUUACCAACCCGAUGCAAACUACGAAUACCGAAGAAUGUUAUCACGGGAGACACACGGCGGGUGCUAACGUCCGUCGUGAAGAGGGAAACAACCCAGACCGCCAGCUAAGGUCCCAAAGUCAUGGUUAAGUGGGAAACGAUGUGGGAAGGCACAGACAGCCAGGAUGUUGGCUUAGAAGCAGCCAUCAUUUAAAGAAAGCGUAAUAGCUCACUGGUCGAGUCGGCCUGCGCGGAAGAUGUAACGGGGCUAAACCAUGCACCGAAGCUGCGGCAGCGACACUAUGUGUUGUUGGGUAGGGGAGCGUUCUGUAAGCCGUUGAAGGUGUGCUGUGAGGCAUGCUGGAGGUAUCAGAAGUGCGAAUGCUGACAUAAGUAACGAUAAAGCGGGUGAAAAGCCCGCUCGCCGGAAGACCAAGGGUUCCUGUCCAACGUUAAUCGGGGCAGGGUGAGUCGACCCCUAAGGCGAGGCCGAAAGGCGUAGUCGAUGGGAAACAGGUUAAUAUUCCUGUACUUGGUGUUACUGCGAAGGGGGGACGGAGAAGGCUAUGUCAGCCGGGCGACGGUUGUCCCGGUUUAAGCAUGUAGGCGGAGGUUCCAGGUAAAUCCGGUACCUUAUUAACGCUGAGGUGUGAUGACGAGGCACUACGGUGCUGAAGUGAUAAAUGCCCUGCUUCCAGGAAAAGCCUCUAAGCAUCAGGUAACACGAAAUCGUACCCCAAACCGACACAGGUGGUCAGGUAGAGAAUACCAAGGCGCUUGAGAGAACUCGGGUGAAGGAACUAGGCAAAAUGGUGCCGUAACUUCGGGAGAAGGCACGCUGAUAUGUAGGUGAAGCCCCUGCGGGCGGAGCUGAAAUCAGUCGAAGAUACCAGCUGGCUGCAACUGUUUAUUAAAAACACAGCACUGUGCAAACACGAAAGUGGACGUAUACGGUGUGACGCCUGCCCGGUGCCGGAAGGUUAAUUGAUGGGGUUAGCGGCAACGCGAAGCUCUUGAUCGAAGCCCCGGUAAACGGCGGCCGUAACUAUAACGGUCCUAAGGUAGCGAAAUUCCUUGUCGGGUAAGUUCCGACCUGCACGAAUGGCGUAAUGAUGGCCAGGCUGUCUCCACCCGAGACUCAGUGAAAUUGAACUCCCCGUGAACCUUUACUAUAGCUUGACACUGAACACUGGUCCUUGAUGUGUAGGAUAGGUGGGAGGCUUUGAAGCGUGGACGCCAGUCUGCGUGGAGCCGCCCUUGAAAUACCACCCUUUAAUGGCUGGUGUUCUAACGUAGACCCGUGAUCCGGGUUGCUGUCUGGUGGGUAGUUUGACUGGGGCGGUCUCCUCCCAAAGAGUAACGGAGGAGCACGAAGGUUGGCUAAUCCUGGUCGGACAUCAGGAGGUUAGUGCAAUGGCAUAAGCCAGCUUGACUGCGAGCGUGACGGCGCGAGCAGGUGCGAAAGCAGGUCAUAGUGAUCCGGUGGUUCUGAAUGGAAGGGCCAUCGCUCAACGGAUAAAAGGUACUCCGGGGAUAACAGGCUGAUACCGCCCAAGAGUUCAUAUCGACGGCGGUGUUUGGCACCUCGAUGUCGGCUCAUCACAUCCUGGGGCUGAAGUAGGUCCCAAGGGUAUGGCUGUUCGCCAUUUAAAGUGGUACGCGAGCUGGGUUUAGAACGUCGUGAGACAGUUCGGUCCCUAUCUGCCGUGGGCGCUGGAGAAUUGAGGGGGGCUGCUCCUAGUACGAGAGGACCGGAGUGGACGCAUCACUGGUGUUCGGGUU